UCACAUUGUGCCAACUGCCAAUUUGCUGGAUUAAAUCCGAUAGAUGUAAUGCCUAUUACAAAUUACAACACAUGAUUGAAUCUGUAAAUUUCAGUUUUUGCCUUACUAGUGGAAGAAUGUUUCAAUUUGCUCUAGCAUAAACACUGUCUUGUCUGAACAUUUGAAGUUGUUUUUGCAGCAUCUAUCUUUUUGGCAAAAAUAACUGAAGUGUCCAUCCUUGCCCACUUGUAAAAAUCUGAUCCCUAACUGGCUUAUAAGUGAAGAUGCACGAGCCAUAAAAAUUGGUGAAAUGAUUGCAAGCAGGGAAGCACUUGGGUAUCCCUGUAUGAGUUGUUGAAUCAAUUUGCGGUGAAUCGGUUUGUAGUGAAUCAAUCUGGCACCCCUGUGGCCUGUGGUGUCAUCCUGCUGAAGCAUGAGGGUUGAAGACUUGAAGCUAGAGGUUGUCUAUGGACUAUACAGCGAUGAAAGUGUCAGACUGUAAAGUUAAAUCGUCAAAAUGAAAUUCAUGUGUAAUGUGUAAAUUAAUUGUGUAUGCUGAUAGUUAAUGGGUAUGUACAUAUGAUUUGUAUCAAAUUUGUAAAAAGACCCGUGAAAUUGUAUUGCAUGUCACAUGGGCCUGACCUAUAGUUAACUGGAUUUGAAUUGGGCCAUAAAUGAAACCUGUGUAAUUGUAUUA